AGGGCUGUAGUUAAGAAUAAUUUUUGAUUUGCAUUCAAAAGGUGUUAGUAAAACUAACCUGCCUU
rnacentral:tRNA from 1 species